GACGAACGCUGGCGGCGUGCUUAACACAUGCAAGUCGAACGGAAAGGCCCUGCUUUUGUGGGGUGCUCGAGUGGCGAACGGGUGAGUAACACGUGAGUAACCUGCCCUUGACUUUGGGAUAACUUCAGGAAACUGGGGCUAAUACCGGAUAGGAGCUCCUGCUGCAUGGUGGGGGUUGGAUAGUUUCGGCGGUUGGGGAUGGACUCGCGGCUUAUCAGCUUGUUGGUGGGGUAGUGGCUUACCAAGGCUUUGACGGGUAGCCGGCCUGAGAGGGUGACCGGCCACAUUGGGACUGAGAUACGGCCCAGACUCCUACGGGAGGCAGCACUGGGGAAUAUUGCACAAUGGGCGGAAGCCUGAUGCAGCAACGCCGCGUGCGGGAUGACGGCCUUCGGGUUGUAAACCGCUUUCGCCUGUGACGAAGCGUGAGUGACGGUAAUGGGUAAAGAAGCACCGGCUAACUACGUG
rnacentral:rRNA from 1 species